AUACUACUCCCUCCGUUCGAAAUUACUUGUCUUAGAUUUGUCUAGAUACAGAGGUAUCUAGCACUAAAAUGAGUCUAGAUACAGCACUAAAAUGAGUCUAGAUACAUCUGUAUCUAGACAAAUCCAAGACAAGUAAUUCGGAACGGAGGGAGUAUAUA
rfam:Triticum aestivum genome assembly, contig: Triticum_aestivum_CS42_TGACv1_scaffold_019641_1AS